UCUCAUUUUUCCCGGGCUUUCGGUCGGCGUUUUCCUUUUCUCGCGGGUUUGGGCGCGCAUCGAACUCUGAAGGGUCGGGAAGGCCUGUCGUUGGAAUGUGGUUGAGUUCCAGGGAGUGUACAGGCUGGAGGAUGGGACAAGACCUAUCUCUGUAUCGAUCAAGCACGGCGUUGGUGUUCCAGCUCAUCACCAAUCCUAAGGAAUUCAAGUGCCUCCCAGGAUGAAUACAGGUUGUCUUGAUGGUGAUACAUUCAUCUGUCUUAAGAUCCCUGCUGAUCUGCUCAUGGUCAAACUCAUGGAAAGAGUUGAGAGUGGUGAGUACUUGUAACCUUGGUUAUAACUUGUCUCCAGUGCCAGUGAGGAGAGCAAGCAUCCUGUCUUAACCCCUGUCCUAGCCCCAGAGCCAGUAAUGGUGAACCCACUGGGGCUAACAGGGAGAGAGGAUGAAAACAUGUUCCGUAAGGAACUGUCUGAGGUACAGCAACUUCCAGUGGGUAGCAUUUGUUUAGCUUCCCUUGGCUUACAUAUUAGCUGGGAUCCUUUUGGUUUUUUAAGGUACUCUACUGAUUUCAUGAUCUUCUCAUUCAGGGGCACCUUGUUCCUGCAUCCUCAAAGGAGCAUCUUGUUCCUCUAUUUAAGCUUCCAGAGUUAAAAGGUUAGUUGAUUAAUGUCACCAUAAUAUAUGCCACCAAGUAAGCAGUUUCUGUGAUGAAUCAAACUAGCUCACUAUGAACUAACAAUGAAAAGAUAUGAACACCUGAGAAACUGGAGAACAGAGCAGUGGGAUACUGUCUGCAAGGAACUUAAUAUCACUUACAGUUUUGUCCUUUCCUAGGUACCUGUACCAUUUAGCGGCUUGUUCACUCAAAGGUGAGUGAUUUAUAUGUUGGCACAUACAGUGUACUGAGGGAGAAAAUGCCUUUUUAGGCAUCUACACAUGAUGACUUACAUGGAAUCUCGUUCGGCUGAUGAUUUGCUGUUGAGACUCGGAAAUCUGAAUUUUUUUUUCUUUUAAGAACUUAAGUGGGAACAAAUUUUAAUGUAGGAAGUAAGCAUUACUGACUCAUUCUUGUUUUGUUUUAGAUCCAUCUUUUCUGGAGCCUGAGGAUGAUUGGAGGUGAAAGGUGUAAGCCAUACUCUGCUCAACUCCAGUCUGAAACUAAGGUUAAAAGAACAUGUACUUAACACACGGGUAAGUAAGUAUCCAUUCACGUACUUGUGUUAAAUAUCAGACUAACUAUAUAAAUACAAUGUUCUAAGUCCGUUUUAGUAAGAACCCUAAACUGUUCUUUUUCUCUGCAGGAAUCCAACUCUUGGAGGACAUCAGAAGUGGAAUUUUCUUAUACAACCUACCUAUUCAAAUUAGCAUAUAAUCUUUCUAGCCUUUCUAAAUAAAUAAAGGGAUUUUUUUGUA
rnacentral:lncRNA from 1 species